rnacentral:lncRNA from 1 species
UCUCUCUCUCUCGUUCCUUUUCAGAAGUGGCGGCCGGUGGCGGCCGGUGGCAAGCGGGGGAGUGCGUAGCGGCAGCCCGGCGAGCGGUGGCGCGGGGGGCGGCAGAUGCGGAGCGGAGCGCGGUGGCGAGCCCGGCGAGCGGCCACCCUCGGCGACGGCAGGCUAGGCAAGCGGGGGAGGUGGAUGCAGGCGCCAGGCGGGGUGCGGCGACGGGUCCGGCGAGCGGUGGCGCGGGAGCAGCAGAUGUGGAGCGUGAGCGCGGCGGCGGCCCGGCGAGUGGAUGCGCGAGCGCGUGGCAUGGGGAGGCGGCGCGGCGUCCUGCCGGCGAGCGCGCCCGGAGGUGCCGCUCUUUUUUUCUUUUUUUCAGAUUUUGUUGGAAAGAGUUUUCUGCACAAAAUUUUCAAAAUCUAUUCAUAACAUUUUUGGAAUAUUUUUUAAAAACUUCUGUCUCAAAUUUUUGUUGCAAAUUUUUCUGCCAAUUUUUUUAAAAAAAUUAAACAAAGUUUGCAAGCAAAAGUUUUCGUAUAACUUUGUCGUUUAUUGAAAAUUUAGUUCAUUUUUUUGCUGACAUUUUUUUUCAAAAAUUUGUGUCCUUAAAAUUGUUUUUGUUUUUGAAUUUUUUCCCAAUUCUUUUCUCCCAAAAGUUUUUUCGUUGAUUUUUUUUCUUGAUUUUCAGUCUUAAAAUCUGGGGUGGUGGGCGG